AGUGAACGCUGGCGGUAGGCCUAACACAUGCAAGUCGAACGGCAGCACAGUAAGAGCUUGCUCUUACGGGUGGCGAGUGGCGGACGAGUGAGGAAUACAUCGGAAUCUACUUUUUCGUGGGGGAUAACGUAGGGAAACUUACGCUAAUACCGCAUACGACCUACGGGUGAAAGCAGGGGAUCUUCGGACCUUGCGCGAUUGAAUGAGCCGAUGUCGGAUUAGCUAGUUGGCGGGGUGAAGGCCCACCAAGGCGACGAUCCGUAGCUGGUCUGAGAGGAUGAUAAGCCACACUGGAACUGAGACACGGUCCAGACUCCUACGGGAGGCAGCAGUGGGGAAUAUUGGACAAUGGGCGCAAGCCUGAUCCAGCCAUACCGCGUGGGUGAAGAAGGCCUUCGGGUUGUAAAGCCCUUUUGUUGGGAAAGAAAAGCAGCAGGUUAAUACCCCGCUGUUCUGACGGUACCCAAAGAAUAAGCACCGGCUAACUUCGUG
rnacentral:rRNA from 1 species